UGUCUCCCCGUGUCCGUUUUCUUGUUCCAUUUCCGUGCUACAUAGAUUUGAUAAGGCAUGCUGAUGUAGAACAGAGGGAACAAAGAACAAAACAAAGAAAAUUCAGAAUCAAAAGCACAAGAAAAAAAUUUCAAGGACCGAUCCUUGAAGAAAAGAGAACUAAUUCUCAAAGUUUAUUGAUCUCAUAAAAUUGUCAUCACCAAAAACUGUUAACAAUGAAAAACCUAGGUUUUAUUUAUAGGAUUAGGAAUCCCAAUCUCAUUAGGAUUAGAGAACCCUAAUUCAAUCAUAAUUAGGAAUUGAAGAAUCCCAAUUUAAUUAGGAACAUAAUCUAUUUAGAAUACACAAUCAUAAAAAACGAAAAUUCUUAUUUUCUAUAUUUUUCCUAAAAUAAGUACUACUAAAAUCUUUAGGAGUGUAUUCUGCAUCACAUGCAGUAAAAUUGCUUAGUAAUAUUGUAUAAAAUUAUUGAUUUGAAAGUGCUAGGUGGCAUUUGUUUAAGUGUCACUCUUUGUAGAUUGGUCAAGUAGCAUAAGUAACUUACAACCAACAUUAUCAUACUCUAAAUUAUUGUCGAAACUCUUUAUUGAAGCCCCUGUCCAGGUCAUUGUUUUACUUCUCCAAAUUCUUUUUUUGAUAACAGUUAGUAACCUGCAUUCAUUUUGAAAUUUGCUACUGGUGAUUAAUAGCUCGUGAACUCAUGAGAGAAGUUUAUUAUAUAUUUGUCUGGUAAAGCUGCUGCAAUAGCUUCUUGAUUAUUACUUAGCUUCACAAUUUGUAGAAUGAUUCUUUUGGAAUCGGAGGUAAGAAAAAUACAUGCAAUACAUUGUUACCAAAUGAAUAGAUUUUAUGGCUUAUAUGUAGUUUUCAGUUGCUUUGAUGUGCACAUUCUUAGACGGCCCUGAAGCACAGACACUUCCUUGGCUAUACCAGGAGCAGCGGUACUGGUGGUCCUGGAUGGUGUCACAUGCACAACAGAUUUUGCAUACAACAUGUGCAUUUCGGUUAGCCAAAUCGUGCAUUCAAUAUGCAUUGCUUUUUAACUUGCAAGCCUUUGUUGCAUUGAUUCUAACUUGUAUUAGACUAAAUGAACAUUUUGAUAGCCGCUACCAGAGGUUGGCAUUGUUGGUUUGGAAAGUUAUCAAGACCAUAAAAUAUAAGUUCCAUAGGUCUCACAUUAUGUUAUUGAGAAUCAUGGUGUCUUUAUGAUCAACUUGGAAGAAUCAUAUUGACUUGGAUUAGAGGGAAUAUGAAUGGGCAAUUCUGGCAGUAGUUAUCAUAAGUUGGAUUGCAACUGAUUUACAGAUGUGAAUUUAUAUUAUCAGCAAAUUUAGUUGUCAAUUAUUGCUCAUCCUUCCAUUA